AAGUCGUAACAAGGUUUCCGUAGGUGAACCUGCGGAAGGAUCAUUAACGAAGAUUUUUUGUCUGUAAAGACGAAUAUUCUCAAAAAACACUUGUGAAAGAAAUAACUCUGCUUUGGCUGGAAUAAGAUUAUAUUGAGAAGUCAAUAUGAUUUAUCAAUCUUUUUAUACUAGCCAAAAGUUUUUAUCAAAACCUUUAUUUUAAACCUAAGUCUGAAUUGAAUUGAAAAAUAUUUAAAACUUUCAACAACGGAUCUCUUGGUUCUCGCAUCGAUGAAGAACGCAGCGAAUUGCGAUAAGUAAUGUGAAUUGCAGAAAUUGUGAAUCAUCGAAUCUUUGAACGCACAUUGCGCCUUUUGGUAUUCCAAAAGGCAUACCUGUUUGAGCGUCAUUUCACUCUUAAAUCUUAAAUUUUAUGUUUUCGAUUUAGUAUUGAGAUAGUUUUUUCCCUACAAAAAGGAAAAAAAUGACUUGAAAGUGAUUUGNCAGAGAGUGAAUCCAGAUUGUAGCCUUUUACAACGUUAUAGGUUUUACCAACUCGUUGGCUUUAUAAAGGCACCUGGAGAUUUAUAGCUCUGGCGUUAUAAGCUAAAAAGAGGAUAGAAGCUUUAUUCUUAAAUCUUUAAAAGUUUGACCUCAAAUCAGGUAAGACUACCCGCUGAACUUAAGCAUAUCAAUAAGCGGAGGNAAAGAAACCAACAGGGAUUGCCUUAGUAACGGCGAGUGAAGCNGCAAANGCUCAAAUUUGAAAUCUNGCAGUAAUGUCCGAGUUGUAAUUUGAAGAAGGUAGCUUUGGUGGAGGCUCUCGCAUAAGUUCCUUGGAACAGGACGUCAUGGAGGGUGAGAAUCCCGUGCGUGGUGAGAUGACCGAAACUAUGUAAAGCGCUUUCGAAGAGUCGAGUUGUUUGGGAAUGCAGCUCUAAGUGGGUGGUAAAUUCCAUCUAAAGCUAAAUAUUGGCGAGAGACCGAUAGCGAACAAGUACAGUGAUGGAAAGAUGAGAAGAACUUUGAAAAGAGAGUGAAAAAGUACGUGAAAUUGUUGAAAGGGAAGGGCUUGGAAUUAGACAUGGUAUUCAAUGAUCAAUUUUCUUUCGGGGAGAUGCACUCGUUGUUUACUGGGCCAGCAUCGAUUUAGACGGUGGGAUAAUUGCGAAAGAAUGUGACUUGUUUUUUUAACAAGUGUUAUAGCUUUUGUUGAUACCAUCAGUUUGGAUCGAGGAUUGCGCAUCUGCUAGGAUGCUGGCGUAAUGAUUUCAAGCCACC
rnacentral:rRNA from 1 species